rnacentral:rRNA from 1 species
AGUGAACGCUGGCGGUAGGCCUAACACAUGCAAGUCGAACGGCAGCACAGUAAGAGCUUGCUCUUACGGGUGGCGAGUGGCGGACGGGUGAGGAAUACAUCGGAAUCUACUUUUUCGUGGGGGAUAACGUAGGGAAACUUACGCUAAUACCGCAUACGACCUACGGGUGAAAGCAGGGGAUCUUCGGACCUUGCGCGAUUGAAUGAGCCGAUGUCGGAUUAGCCAGUUGGCGGGGUAAAGGCCCACCAAGGCGACGAUCCGUAGCUGGUCUGAGAGGAUGAUCAGCCACACUGGAACUGAGACACGGUCCAGACUCCUACGGGAGGCAGCAGUGGGGAAUAUUGGACAAUGGGCGCAAGCCUGAUCCAGCCAUACCGCGUGGGUGAAGAAGGCCUUCGGGUUGUAAAGCCCUUUUGUUGGGAAAGAAAAGCAGCAGGUUAAUACCCCGCUGUUCUGUCGGUACCCAAAGAAUAAGCACCGGCUAACUUCGUG